rnacentral:rRNA from 2 species
AUACAUGCAAGUCGAGCGGACAGAUGGGAGCUUGCUCCCUGAAGUCAGCGGCGGACGGGUGAGUAACACGUGGGCAACCUGCCUGUAAGACUGGGAUAACUCCGGGAAACCGGGGCUAAUACCGGAUAAUUCUUUCCCUCACAUGAGGGAAAGCUGAAAGAUGGUUUCGGCUAUCACUUACAGAUGGGCCCGCGGCGCAUUAGCUAGUUGGUGAGGUAACGGCUCACCAAGGCAACGAUGCGUAGCCGACCUGAGAGGGUGAUCGGCCACACUGGGACUGAGACACGGCCCAGACUCCUACGGGAGGCAGCAGUAGGGAAUCUUCCGCAAUGGACGAAAGUCUGACGGAGCAACGCCGCGUGAGUGAUGAAGGUUUUCGGAUCGUAAAACUCUGUUGUUAGGGAAGAACAAGUACCGGAGUAACUGCCGGUACCUUGACGGUACCUAACCAGAAAGCCACGGCUAACUACGUGCCAGCAGCCGCGGUAAUACGUAGGUGGCAAGCGUUGUCCGGAAUUAUUGGGCGUAAAGCGCGCGCAGGCGGUUCCUUAAGUCUGAUGUGAAAGCCCCCGGCUCAACCGGGGAGGGUCAUUGGAAACUGGGGAACUUGAGUGCAGAAGAGAAGAGUGGAAUUCCACGUGUAGCGG